rnacentral:tRNA from 1 species
GCAGGGAUACCGUAGCGGUCAACCGGAGUGCGUUUAGGCCGCACUGGCUUAGUGCCUUCGCAGGUUCGAAUCCUGCUCCCUGCA